rnacentral:piRNA from 1 species
UCCUUGCGGCAUGAGCCAUCA